GAAAAACAUUUGUUUUUUUCAGGGUAAACCGAGUAACCUAUUUAUAUCAGCUAUGCCUUGAUUCUUUCCCAGCACCCAAGCUUGCUAGAGAAGCAGUUUAUAUUCACUUUUCUUCUUUUUUUUUUUUUUUGUUAGUUUGUUUUUGUUUGAUUUGAAUUUUAUUUAUUUAUUUUUUAUACAGCAGGUCCUUAUUAGUUACCUAUUUUAUACAUAUUAGUGUAUACAUGUCAAUCCCAAUCUCCCAGUUCAUCCCACCACCACCACCACCCACUUUUCUUCUAAGUAAGCAGAGCUUCCGUGAAAACCUGCUGUUCCAGAUGUGGCUUUGUAGAUGUAAUCAUAUGUCAUUGCUGGUACUGUUUCUGAGCCUGCUUAAUCUUUACUGCUACCCUGUGCCAGUUCCUGAAGGUUUAUUUGGCUGAGUUCUGUUUUCUUUACUUGUACUUUCAGUCUUGCAGUGGGAGCCAUCGAUGAUACAUAAUGAGGAUCUAUUUUGUUUUUCUGUUGAGGAUUUUUCCAGUGAUAGAGUCAAGGAACUGAGUUUUAAAAAGAAAAGACAAUUCAAUCCACUAUUAUUUAUUGAUACCUUAGUGUGCCAGACCAAAAUGAAAUAGAAAGUGUCCCUAUCUGCAAAAAGAGUACCUUUUCAGGAAAGGUAACAUAAGACAACUAUCACAAAACUCAUUUUAGGCACAGUACCAAGUGAGUGGUAUAAACACUAGUAUUGUGUGAAUUUAGGAAUGGGAAAAAAUCACUCUGACUUGGGAUGGCUGGGGAAAACUUCCUGGAGGAGUUGAGACUUAUUUAAGAUCAUGUAGGAUGUAUGGUAAAUAUGGCUUCUCAUAUGUUAGAAAAAUGAGCAAAAUUUUGGAUUUUGGGAAUGCAUUGUACAAAUAUGAUCCCAAUGAGUAUACCAGAAUGACAGUCAACUUUGUGUAGGAGAGAAGGGGACAGGAAGGGAAUUGGGUCAGAUUGGGGAGGGUCGUUAGUGUUUUUCCCAAAACAUAGUCCUUAGAAAUAUCCUGUUUCAGCAAGCACAGGCCAUAAAUAUUAGAGCUGGAAAAUCCCUUGUAGUUUUGUUGACAUGAAGAGAGGACCUGCUGUAUUGAUGAGCUCGUUGUCUUUAUAUAUGACAUCCAUGGAUGCUAUUAACCUCAGUGUUUUCUGUAUAUUUCAGACAUUAGUCCCUUACCAUGGGGGAUUGGAAUUUAUUGGGUGGCAUCCUAGAGGAAGUUCACUCCCACUCAACCACGGUGGGGAAAAUCUGGCUGACCAUCCUCUUCAUUUUCCGGAUGCUGAUACUUGGUGUAGCUGCUGAAGAUGUCUGGGAUGAUGAACAGUCAGCAUUUGUCUGCAACACCCAGCAGCCAGGUUGCAACACUGUCUGUUACGAUGAUGCUUUCCCUAUCUCUCUGAUCAGGUUCUGGGUUUUGCAGAUCAUCUUUGUGUCUUCUCCCUCUCUGGUAUAUGUGGGCCAUGCACUUUAUAGCCUCAGGGCCUUUGAAAAGGAGAGGCAGAGGAAAAAGUCACAGCUUAGAGCCCAGAUGGAGAAUCCAGAGCUUGAAUUGGAGGAGCAGCAAAAGAUAGAUAGAGAACUGAGGAAGCUGGAGGAGCAGAAGAAGAUCCAAAAAGUCCCUCUGAAAGGAUGUCUUCUGCGUACUUAUGUCUUACACAUCUUGACCAGAUCUGUGCUGGAAGUAGGGUUCAUGAUAGGCCAAUAUAUUCUCUAUGGGUUGCAAAUGCACCCCCUUUACAAAUGUACUCAACCUCCUUGCCCCAAUGCAGUGGAUUGCUUCGUGUCCAGGCCCACAGAGAAGACCAUUUUCAUGCUCUUUAUGCAGAGCAUUGCAGCCAUCUCUUUGUUCCUCAACGUACUGGAAAUAUUUCAUCUGGGGAUCAGGAAAAUCAUGAGGGCACUUUAUGACAAAUCCAGCAGUGAGGGCAUUGAGGACGAAAGGGGACCUCCAUUUCAUUUGAAAAGAUAUUCAGCGGCCCAGCAGUGUAUGAAUUGCUCUCUCUUCCCUGAAAGAGUCUCUCUAGUUCAAGCCAGCACUCAACAGCAAGUCUUCCGAGUCGAUGUGCCGAAUUCUAAAACCAUGUGGCAAAUCCCACAGCCCAGGCAACUUGAGGUAGACCCUUGCUGUAGUAAAAAAGACUGGGCUGAGGGGUAUCAGCACAGAGGACAGCUCCAUGUCCACAGCCCGUGUCCCUGGGAUGAUGGUGCUAGAAUUCAGCACUCGGGACAGCAAUCAGGCCGGUCUUCCUUUGGCUUGCAGACUACAACGCCCCAGUCCUGGCUCGGUACAACGAUGGCUCCUAGACAUUGUCCAUCACAUACAACAGGACGCUGGGAGCAGUCCCAGGACCUGCAACCCUCAGGGGAGCCUCUCACAGAUCUACACAGUCACUGCAGACACAGCGAUGGCAGCAUGAGAGAGAGCAGAGUCCAGACAGACGGAUCUUGCAUGGGCAGUUGCAAGGCCAGCUUUCUGUCCAGAUUGCUGUCUGAAAAGGGACAGCUGUACAGUGACUCACUAAGCUCCAGUUCUCGAAAUAGCUCUUGCCUGGGCUUUCCACACCGGGAAAACAGCCCCUCACUUCUGCCUUCAGCCACUGAGCACAAAACAUCAAUGAACAUGCUUCUAGAACUUUCAUCCAUUAUGAAAAAAUAAUGCAUCCUGGGACCAGAAAAAACAGACUCAGGAGCAGCUGGCAUCUGCGAGAUAGAAGUUGUAUGUUUGUCAGCUCAAACUGCAGGAGGAACUCUGAGAACCAUCCCCUCCAGAACCAUGAAUCAGGCAAUGGCUGUGUAUCGGGGGCUCCCAGCUGGGCUCCCUGACCGCUGGGGUCAGCCUCUCACUGCUCUGCUUGGCCAUGCUGCCUGAGGCCGGUCCAGUGCUCUCCAUACACCAGGGAGGCACUCUACCCCAUCAGAGAAAAUCUAGGGGCAAGAGCCGCCAUCCGCGGGGAGGAGGAGUGAGAUGUGCUACCAUCCCUGCCAGUAGCGGGCUCUGCAGCAGCAGCAGUUUGGACCCUUGAACAUGGUUCCAGAGCAGGCUGGGAGCUCUGCCUGCAGCCUGGGCUCAACAUGCUUCCUGUCUGUACACCAGAAGUUGGAGGGAAGCUUUUUGUGUUCUUCCUCUCGUCAGCUCAUUUCUUGGGGUUGAAGCAGCUGGAUGUUCGUCCCUAGAUGCCAUUACAUAAAAUAUUGAUUAUGGCACUGGCAAACACUCGCCAUCACAUGACUUUAUCCUUCUGCUGGGAUCAUCGUCAGUAGUGAUGCCAUGACUGUGGGCCAGCAGGUGCUGCGGAAUCUCAUUCCCAACUUCCAGGGGAGUGACUGAAGCCGGCACCACUUCCUCACCCUCCCCACCCUCCCAGUGGUCCCGAGCCAUCCAGGAGAGGUGCAUCGAAAAAGCACUGAACACUUCUUACAGAGCACAGAGGCAUGGAUGGCUGUGUGAUGUCCACUAACUAUCCAGUCGGUGAGGCUGGUUGGCUGGUCAUUACUGUCUGAGUUCUGAGAAUCAUAAAGGUGGACUUAAUUCCCAUGGAAGGAGCCACUUAGCCCUGUCCUCUAUCCCGUGGCCAGACUCUCCUAUCCCUGGCCACACACCUUGUAACAAAGGCUUCAAGUUAUUGGGAGAAUCAGUUUGUUCCAAAGACACAAAGGUCUGCAUCAUCUAUAUCCUGCUGAGAUAAAAUCCAUACUCCUUAGCCUGGCACAUAAAGCCUUCAUGGGCUGACUCCUGCCUCCUGUUUGUUCCCUACCUCCUGUGCCCUAACCCGGCUGCGCUAUGAGUAAAGCAGAUCGUCUUCCCAUUGUGGGUGACCAGCAGCCAAUCUGUUGAGGGCCUGCAUAGAAUAAAAAAGUGGAAGAAGAGUGAAUUUGCUUUCUCUAUUUGAGCUGGAACAUCAGUCUUCUCCCUUGGACUGAGACUUAUAUCAUUGGCUCUAUAGUUCUCAGAACUAUGCCACCGGCUUUCCUGGGCCUCCAGCUUGCAAAAGAGGAGGAAGUGAGGGGUGGAGAUGUGAAGAGGUGUGUGAUCUUUUCCACAAUGAAUUGGUAGAAGAGCCUGUGAAGACCAGGUGGAUGAAAACGAUGCCGGGGCCAAGCCCAGAUGGGUGCCAUUUUAAGGGGCAUACCAUAUUCCAGCAUACAGCAGACCUGCUGGCAGGGAGUAGGCAGACUGAGAUUCCUCACUGCUCUGGAAGUAGAUACAAGUCACACCUAAGGUGCACAUUCAAGGUAGGAAAGAGAAUGGCUGCCUCCCAUUUGGGGCUGGGUCGUGUUCGAAUGCUUCCCUUCUGCAGGAGAUAAGGGCCUUCUUCUGUAUCAAACCACAGUUGUCAUUCCUGCCACAAGCACUAAUGUUGGGGUCGAAGGUGCAUAUGAUCAUCAGUUCUAAGUGACCAGGUUUUCCUACAGAAAACUUUGGGACCAUGACACCGUUUUCCUAGAAAGGAUUGAAUAACUUCAUGUCUUCAGGCAAAGGACUCUAUUUUACCUCUGACACCUAAGAUGUUUCACAACAGUGCAUGUUUGCUAAUCCCAUUAUAUGGUCCCUGAAGCCCUCGCCUCAGUGGGGAGCCCGUGGAGGGAGUGGAGUUCAGCAACUGGUAAUUUCAGUUUUCCCACCUAGUAGGUGGGGUAAGGCCAUGCACUUCUGGAAGCUCAGAUCCCGGCAGCACUGCAUUCUCCUGCCAUCACGUGAAUCCAUCCUCACUGCCAGCUCGGCCAGACCACUUAUGAGUCCCGCGCACUCAAGUUGUCUGGCCUGCCCACCAUUCAAUAUCUUGUUUUCCCUUUACAUCAAAAUCCAAGACUCAAAUGAUCAAAUAUUCUUUUCUGGCUUAAAUGUAUGUACACCCUAAUCACAAUUCUAAAAU